AUUGAACGCUGGCGGCAGGCCUAACACAUGCAAGUCGAGCGAGCGGCGGACGGGUGAGUAAUGUAUGGGGACUGCCCGAUAGAGGGGGAUAACUACUGGAAACGGUGGCUAAUACCGCAUACUAUCGGAUAACCCAUAUGGGAUUAGCUAGUAGGUGGGGUAAAGGCUCACCUAGGCGACAAUCCCUAGCUGGUCUGAGAGGAUGAUCAGCCACACUGGUACUUAGACACGGCCCAGACUCCUACGGAGGCAGCAGUGGGGAAUAUUGCACAAUGGGCGGAAGCCUGAUGCAGCCAUGCCGCGUGUAUGAAGAAGGCCUUCGGGUUGUAAAGUACUUUCAGUCGGGAGGCGUUACCGACAGAAGAAGCACAGGCUAACUCCGUGCCAGCAGCCGCGGUAAUAC
rnacentral:rRNA from 1 species